rnacentral:ncRNA from 1 species
GUAAAGAGGCCUACUGUAAAGCAGGUUUUUUACUAUAUCGUAUUCGCCCUACGCUCGGCCCGGUCAAAGUUGAGCGUGGGGCUUUUU